rnacentral:rRNA from 1 species
GACGAACGCUGGCGGCGUGCUUAACACAUGCAAGUCGAACGGAAAGGCCCAGCUUGCUGGGUGCUCGAGUGGCGAACGGGUGAGUAACACGUGGGUGAUCUGCCCCUAACUUCGGGAUAAGCUUGGGAAACUGGGUCUAAUACCGGAUAGGACAAUCGUUUAGUGUCGGUUGUGGAAGGUUUUUUCGGUUAGGGAUGAGCCCGCGGCCUAUCAGCUUGUUGGUGGGGUAAUGGCCUACCAAGGCGUCGACGGGUAGCCGGCCUGAGAGGGUGGACGGCCACAUUGGGACUGAGAUACGGCCCAGACUCCUACGGGAGGCAGCAGUGGGGAAUAUUGCACAAUGGGCGCAAGCCUGAUGCAGUGACGCCGCGUGGGGGAUGACGGCCUUCGGGUUGUAAACCUCUUUCGACAGGGACGAAGCUUUGGUGACGGUACCUGUAUAAGAAGCACCGGCUAACUACGUGCCAGCCGCCGCCGUAAAAC